rnacentral:rRNA from 1 species
AUGGCUGCAGUAUUUUGACUGUGCAAAGGUAGCAUAGUAAUUAGUUUCUUAAUUAGGAGCUGGUAUGAAUGAAUUAAUGAGAAACAUAUUUUAUUAUUUUAAUUAUUAGAAUUUAAAUUUUAAGUCAAAAUGCUUAAUUAUUUUCUAGGGACGAUAAGACCCUAUAGAACUUUAUAUUAAUUAUUUUAGUUAACUUUUGUUUUAAUAUUUAUCUAAAUCUAUUAAUAAUUUUCUGGGGUGGAAAAUAAAUUUUAACUUUAUUUUUAUAUUUCAAUAAUUUUUGUUUAUUAUGAUCCUAAUGGAAAUAAGAAUAAGUUACCUUAGGGAUAACAGCGUAAUUUUAGUGGGGAGUUCACAUCUAUACUAAUUUUGCGACCUCGAUGUUGAAUUAAGGUUAGAUUAAGAAGCAGAAUUCUUUUUUCUAAGUCUGUUCGACUUUUAAACCCUUACAUGAUUUGAGUUCAAACCGGCGUGAGCCAGGUUGGUUUCUAUCUUAGAAUAAAAUUUACUAUUUAGUACGAAAGGACCAUUAGUAUACACUUAAGUGUUAAUUUUUAAUA